AUCAAAAAAGCGAAAUUUCGCACCAAGUUUCGACCUUGGCUUUCGGUUACCGUUUUGAUA
rnacentral:tRNA from 1 species